rnacentral:rRNA from 2 species
GGGUUGUGAGGUUAAGCGACUAAGCGUACACGGUGGAUGCCCUGGCAGUCAGAGGCGAUGAAGGACGUGCUAAUCUGCGAUAAGCGCCGGUAAGGUGAUAUGAACCGUUAUAACCGGCGAUUUCCGAAUGGGGAAACCCAGUGUGACUCGUCACACUAUCAUUAACUGAAUC